UACGUAGGGUGCGAGCGUUGUCCGGAAUUAUUGGGCGUAAAGGGCUCGUAGGCGGUUUGUUGCGUCGGGAGUGAAAUCCACUGGCUUAACUGGUGGCUUGCUUUCGAUACGGGCAGACUGGAGGUAUGCAGGGGAGAACGGAAUUCCUGGUGUAGCGGUGAAAUGCGCAGAUAUCAGGAGGAACACCGGUGGCGAAGGCGGAUCUCUGGGCCAUUACUGACGCUGAGGAGCGAAAGCGUGGGGAGCGAACAGG
rnacentral:rRNA from 1 species